rnacentral:lncRNA from 1 species
UCAAUGUUUAAAUUACGCUAAUGAGACUGAAAUUUAGCUUUAGCUUUAAUUUUGUUCUUGAAGAAAUAGCGUUAAGUACAGUUAUUUUAAUUUUUAGAUAUCCAAGACGUUCUUGUUGGCACAGUGUUCACUCACCAUCCUGCAACUCAUUUAGCAGAAAUUACACAAAAAGAAAAGCAAUGAGUCCAGUACAGCGGUAGUGCCUACAUCUUCAGCCCAUACAAAAUUGCAUCACAAACUACAAAAAAUUUCCCGAGUUCGUCAAUUGUUGGAAGGAGGACAUUGUUAUUCAUUUUGAGAACAAUGCUCCAUUUCUUAGCGUUGCCAAUCUCCUUAAACACAUUGGGGUAAAAUUGCUGUUGAAGAGAAUUUGGAUGUUUAUCAUGGUGGAUCCAAGCUCAAAACCUCUUUUUCGGGAUUUGAAUACCAAAGAGAACAUUGUGGUUUCCAGCAUUUAGUCAUACAAAGUAAGAAAAACAAAGUAACACAAACGAAUGAUGCACUUGUUCGCAUUAUUCUCCCUGAAGGAGCAUCCAACAUUGAAAUCGAAACUCCGUAUGCAGUCACUCGAUUACAAGACACAUUGCAUUUUACUUACCUCAAUGUCAAGGGCCGCUCGGUCGUGGAAAAUGCUGCCAAGAACCUUGUGGAGAUCCACAUCCAACCUUUCAAGUACACGUUUCCUAGAAUCGUCAUGCUUCAAGAGCCAUUGUUAUUUUUUCCUCCUGUUCUUCACUUUCAUCAUCUAAUCCUCCAUCACCAAGGUUUGAAAUGAAAAAAACAUGGAAAACGCAACAUCCAUCCUAUUUCAUUGUUCACCCUUUACCUUGCUCGCUACUUUUUAUUGUAAACAGAUUUUUCAUGUGAUUGAUAUGCACGACAUGUUGUGUAGAUGGAUACCUUUGGUUUGAUAUCAACGCGUUUGAAGCGAGUGUACACAAACUUCUUUUAUUUUGUAUUUCGAUAUUUAAUUUUUUUUUUUUUUAUUUUCUUAUGUCGUUUUACGUCUCGCGUAUGUGUAUACUACCAUAUUCCCAGAUUUAUUCACGAAUCCGUACAUUCUGAAUGAUUUUAGAAGCAUUUUUCUGCGAGUUAAUAAAAAAAUUCAAAAUGAA